GAUGAACGCUGGCGGCGUGCCUAACACAUGCAAGUCGAACGGAGUCCAGCCUUUAAGACCUUCGGGUCAAAGAGGGGAAGACUGAGUGGCGGACGGGUGAGUAACACGUGGGCAACCUGGCUCAUAGAGGGGGAUAACAGAGAGAAAUUUCUGCUAAUACCGCAUAAGCACACACUGCCGCAUGGCAGAGGGUGAAAAGAGAAUCGCUAUGAGAUGGACCCGCGUCUGAUUAGCCAGUUGGCAGGGUAAGAGCCUACCAAAGCGACGAUCAGUAGCCGAUCUGAGAGGAUGAACGGCCACAUUGGGACUGAGACACGGCCCAAACUCCUACGGGAGGCAGCAGUGGGGGAUAUUGCACAAUGGGGGGAACCCUGAUGCAGCGACGCCGCGUGAGUGAAGAAGUAUUUCUGUAUGUAAAGCUCUAUCAGCAGGGAAGAUAAUGACAGUACCUGAAUAAGAAGCCCCGGCUAACUACGUG
rnacentral:rRNA from 1 species